AUACGUAGGGUGCGAGCGUUGUCCGGAAUUACUGGGCUUAAAGAGCUCGUAGGUGGUUUGUCGCGUCGUCUGUGAAAUUCCGGGGCUUAACUCCGGGCGUGCAGGCGAUACGGGCAUAACUUGAGUACUGUAGGGGAGACUGGAAUUCCUGGUGUAGCGGUGAAAUGCGCAGAUAUCAGGAGGAACACCGGUGCAGAGGGCGGUUCACUCGUCCCCUACUCGCGUCUAGUCCCAACUGUAUGGUUAGGAACCCGAAUUAGUUACGAUAGUGAUCCAUGCCGUAUUCGUGGGGCGGAAGGUGUAGGGGGCUUCCAAGAUUGCUGCCCUGGUGCGAUCGCAUUAAGCCCCCCGCCUGGGGAGUACCUUCACCAGUCGAAACCCCCAAGGAAUUGACGGGU
rnacentral:rRNA from 1 species